rnacentral:rRNA from 1 species
GAUGAACGCUGGCGGCGUGCCUAAUACAUGCAAGUCGAGCGAACGGACGAGAAGCUUGCUUCUCUGAUGUUAGCGGCGGACGGGUGAGUAACACGUGGAUAACCUGCCUAUAAGACUGGGAUAACUUCGGGAAACCGGAGCUAAUACCGGAUAAUAUUUUGAACCGCAUGGUUCAAAAGUGAAAGACGGUCUUGCUGUCACUUAUAGAUGGAUCCGCGCUGCAUUAGCUAGUUGGUAAGGUAACGGCUUACCAAGGCAACGAUGCAUAGCCGACCUGAGAGGGUGAUCGGCCACACUGGAACUGAGACACGGUCCAGACCCCUACGGGAGGCAGCAGUAGGGAAUCUUCCGCAAUGGGCGAAAGCCUGACGGAGCAACGCCGCGUGAGUGAUGAAGGUCUUCGGAUCGUAAAACUCUGUUAUUAGGGAAGAACAUAUGUGUAAGUAACUGUGCACAUCUUGACGGUACCUAAUCAGAAAGCCACGGCUAACUACGUG